AUCCAGUAACAAUCCAGAGGUCACCACCCUUCCCAACCAUCCACUAACAAUCCAGAGGUCACCACCCUUCCCAACAAUCCAGUAACAAUCCAGAGGUCACCACCCCUUUCCAACAAUCCAGCAACGACCCAGAGGUCACCACCCUUCCCAACCAUCCACUAACAAUCCAGAGGUCACCACCCUUCCCAACCAUCCAGUAACAAUCCAGAGGUCACCACCCUUCCCAACCAUCCACUAACAAUCCAGAGGUCACCACCCUUCCCAACCAUCCACUAACAAUCCAGAGGUCACCACCCUUCCCAACAAUCCACUAACAAUCCAGAGGUCACCACCCUUCCCAACAAUCCACUAACAAUCCAGAGGUCACCACCCUUCCCAACCAUCCACUAACAAUCCAGAGGUCACCACCCUUCCCAACCAUCCAGCAACGACCCAGAGGUCACCACCCUUCCCAACCAUCCACUAACAAUCCAGAGGUCACCACCCUUCCCAACCAUCCACUAACAAUCCAGAGGUCACCACCCUUCCCAACAAUCCACUAACAAUCCAGAGGUCACCACCCUUCCCAACCAUCCACUAACAAUCCAGAGGUCACCACCCUUCCCAACCAUCCACUAACAAUCCAGAGGUCACCACCCCUUCCCAACAAUCCAGCAACGACCCAGAGGUCACCACCCUUCCCAACAAUCCAGUAACAAUCCAGAGGUCACCACCCUUCCCAACCAUCCACUAACAAUCCAGAGGUCACCACCCUUCCCAACCAUCCACUAACAAUCCAGAGGUCACCACCCUUCCCAACAAUCCAGCAACGACCCAGAGGUCACCACCCUUCCCAACAAUCCACUAACAAUCCAGAGGUCACCACCCUUCCCAACAAUCCAGUAACAAUCCAGAGGUCACCACCCUUCCCAACAAUCCACUAACAAUCCAGAGGUCACCACCCUUCCCAACAAUCCACUAACAAUCCAGAGGUCACCACCCUUCCCAACAAUCCACUAACAAUCCAGAGGUCACCACCCCUUCCCAACAAUCCAGCAACGACCCAGAGGUCACCACCCUUCCCAACAAUCCAGCAACGACCCAGAGGUCACCACCCUUCCCAACAAUCCAGUAACAAUCCAGAGGUCACCACCCUUCCCAACAAUCCACUAACAAUCCAGAGGUCACCACCCUUCCCAACCAUCCACUAACAAUCCAGAGGUCACCACCCUUCCCAACAAUCCACUAACAAUCCAGAGGUCACCACCCUUCCCAACAAUCCACUAACAAUCCAGAGGUCACCACCCUUCCCAACAAUCCACUAACAAUCCAGAGGUCACCACCCUUCCCAACAAUCCAGCAACGACCCAGAGGUCACCACCCUUCCCAACAAUCCAGUAACAAUCCAGAGGUCACCACCCUUCCCAACAAUCCACUAACAAUCCAGAGGUCACCACCCUUCCCAACAAUCCAGUAACAAUCCAGAGGUCACCACCCUUCCCAACAAUCCACUAACAAUCCAGAGGUCACCACCCUUCCCAACCAUCCACUAACAAUCCAGAGGUCACCACCCUUCCCAACAAUCCACUAACAAUCCAGAGGUCACCACCCUUCCCAACAAUCCACUAACAAUCCAGAGGUCACCACCCUUCCCAACAAUCCACUAACAAUCCAGAGGUCACCACCCCUUCCCAACAAUCCAGCAACGACCCAGAGGUCACCACCCUUCCCAACAAUCCAGCAACGACCCAGAGGUCACCACCCUUCCCAACAAUCCAGUAACAAUCCAGAGGUCACCACCCUUCCCAACCAUCCACUAACAAUCCAGAGGUCACCACCCUUCCCAACCAUCCACUAACAAUCCAGAGGU